CAUCACGUAUUCUUGAACUAGGUAAUCGACUGCUUACUAAUGGAUUUCACGGGAAACUCUCACUUGGUUGGAAUGACAACACUGAUUCAGUCAGUUCCGUGAACACUGGAAUUAAUGAGCCAGUGAAUGAUUACCAGCAUUUUGUGGGUAGAACAUUUAACACUGAUUCAGUCAGUUCCUUGAACACUGGAAUUAAUGAGCCAGUGAAUGAUUACCAGCAUUUUGUGGGUAGAACAUUUUCCGGUAGAAUUAAAGGCUUCCCAGGAAGUGGAUCCUCGUUU
rnacentral:lncRNA from 1 species